rnacentral:rRNA from 1 species
UUCGCCGGCGACCGGCGCACGGGUGAGUAACACGUGUGCAACCAACCCCGUACCGGGAGAUAACCCGCGGAAACGUGGACUAACAUCCCAUAAGACUCUAGAGCCGCAUGGCUCUGGAUUUAAAAUUCCGGUGGUACGGGACGGGCACGCGCGACAUUAGGUAGUUGGCGGGGUAACGGCCCACCAAGCCGACGAUGUCUAGGGGUUCUGAGAGGAAGGUCCCCCACACUGGAACUGAGACACGGUCCAGACUCCUACGGGAGGCAGCAGUGAGGAAUAUUGGUCAAUGGGCGAGAGCCUGAACCAGCCAAGUCGCGUGAGGGAUGAAUGGUCCAUGGCCUGUAAACCUCUUUUGUCAAGGAAGAAUAAAUUGCACGUGUGCGAUCUUGCCAGUACUUGACGAAUAAGCAUCGGCUAACUCCGUGCCAGCAGCCGCGGUAAUACGGGGGAUGCGAGCGUUAUCCGGAUUUAUUGGGUUUAAAGGGCGCGUAGGCGGGACGCCAAGUCAGCGGUAAAAGACUGCAGCUAAACUGUAGCACGCCGUUGAAACUGGCGCCCUCGAGACGAGACGAGGGAGGCGGAACAAGUGAAGUAGCGGUGAAAUGCUUAGAUAUCACU